GAUGAACGCUGGCGGCGUGCCUAAUACAUGCAAGUCGAGCGAAUGGAUUAAGAGCUUGCUCUUAUGAAGUUAGCGGCGGACGGGUGAGUAACACGUGGGUAACCUGCCCAUAAGACUGGGAUAACUCCGGGAAACCGGGGCUAAUACCGGAUAACAUUUUGAACCGCAUGGUUCGAAAUUGAAAGGCGACUUCGGCUGUCACUUAUGGAUGGACCCGCGUCGCAUUAGCUAGUUGGUGAGGUAACGGCUCACCAAGGCAACGAUGCGUAGCCGACCUGGGAGGGUGAUCGGCCACACGGGGACUGAGACACGGCCCAGACUCCUACGGGAGGCAGCAGUAGGGAAUCUUCCGCAAUGGACGAAAGUCUGACGGAGCAACGCCGCGUGAGUGAUGAAGGCUUUCGGGUCGUAAAACUCUGUUGUUAGGGAAGAACAAGUGCUAGUUGAAUAAGCUGGCACCUUGACGGUACCUAACCAGAAAGCCACGGCUAACUACGUGCCAGCAGCCGCCGCGG
rnacentral:rRNA from 1 species